rnacentral:lncRNA from 1 species
GUAAGCUUGGUGCUACUUCUUUUCUUUUAUUUGUUAUUUUCUUUGAAUAAGAGGAUUGAAAGUUUCUGAAUAUUAUGAAGUGAAUUAUGGAAUGGAAAUGUGAUUGGUAUUAUUUGAGAAAAAAAAAAAAAUUGAAUGCUGAAAUUUGAUUGUAGUUCAACAAAGAGAAUGAGUUUGUGUUUGUGUGAAACACUGUAAUGUGAAUGGCAGUUCUGUGUGAAGAAUUCCAAUGAUUGGAAUGAGGGUAAUUGUGUGCUGAAAGCUGUGAGGGCACAAUAUUAUAAUUGGAGAUUAUGAGGGUGAAUAUAUUGGUAGAAAUAGCAAUUAUUGGUAUGACUGAAUUGCUGUAAGGAAGAGAUCGAUAAGGUGAAGGAGGAGAUUAUAGUUUCUUUGUGUGUUCAGAUAUUGGAAAUAGAGAUGAUACAUUCAGGAGGUAAUUGAUUGUGUGACCCUAACAUGAACGCUUAAGCAACUAAUCAUUCUCUGUAUUUGAAUCCCCCUAUACGGAUUUAUGCUGGGAGG